GACUCGUCACACUAUCAUUAACUGAAUCCAUAGGUUAAUGAGGCGAACCGGGGGAACUGAAACAUCUAAGUACCCCGAGGAAAAGAAAUCAACCGAGAUUCCCCCAGUAGCGGCGAGCGAACGGGGAGGAGCCCAGAGCCUGAAUCAGCAUGUGUGUUAGUGGAAGCGUCUGGAAAGGCGCGCGAUACAGGGUGACAGCCCCGUACACAAAAGCGCAUGUGCUGUGAGCUCGAUGAGUAGGGCGGGACACGUGGUAUCCUGUCUGAAUAUGGGGGGACCAUCCUCCAAGGCUAAAUACUCCUGACUGACCGAUAGUGAACCAGUACCGUGAGGGAAAGGCGAAAAGAACCCCGGCGAGGGGAGUGAAAAAGAACCUGAAACCGUGUACGUACAAGCAGUGGGAGCACAGGUUUACCUGUGUGACUGCGUACCUUUUGUAUAAUGGGUCAGCGACUUAUAUUCUGUAGCAAGGUUAACCGAAUAGGGGAGCCGGAGGGAAACC
rnacentral:rRNA from 1 species